GUACGACAACGAAUGGGGUUACAGCAACCGAGUUUUGGACUUGAUUUUGAAAAUGUCAUCACACUUCAGUAAAGAUGGUAGUUCAGUUGUUGGUGGCGCUGUCGGUGAUGAUCCUUUUGAGAAGAUAAAAUACUAGUUCUGAAUGGAGUCUGUCACGCUGUGUUUUCAUGUUUCUCGGACAAUGCUCCUCGUUUAAAAUAACAAAUAAAUCUCCACCUUUUUUACUAUGACACGUAGCUUCCAUCCAAAUGGGAAAUUUGGGAAAGUGGAGAGAAAAAGUAAUGGAGAGGAGCCCCGACCAUGUUUCUCAAUUUGGUCAGGAUGUAUCUUAAGUAGUGAUCCUGAAUUGAACUGUCUACUGUGUUUUUGGGGCUUUUACAGAUAAAAUCUGAACUCUUCUAUUUAUGAGCCCAGAAGUUUGUAAUAAG
rnacentral:misc_RNA from 1 species